UACAGCCAUAUCCACGUGGAAACAUCGGUUACCAUACGAUCGCCAAAGUUAAGCAACGUCGAGCUUGGUCAGUACCUUGAUGGGUGACUACUUAAGGUUACGAGGUGCUG